AAGCAGGAUAUAGUUGCAAUGUAGCUGGGAAGUGCUGCAUUGUCUUUGCCUCCUGCUCAAAAUAAACUGUGUCCUUUCUAGCCCUGUUGGCCAUGGUGCUGUAGCUGCCAGGGAUGCAUGGUCUCACACAU